rnacentral:rRNA from 1 species
UACGUAGGGUGCGAGCGUUAAUCGGAAUUACUGGGCGUAAAGCGUGCGCAGGCGGUUCGUUGUGUCGGUGGUGAAAGCCCCGGGCUUAACCUGGGAAUGGCCAUGGAAACUGGCGAACUGGAGUGUGGCAGAGGGGGGUGGAAUUCCUGGUGUAGCGGUGAAAUGCGCAGAUAUCAGGAGGAACACCGAUGGCGAAGGCAGCUCGCUGGGACGGUACUGACGCUGAGGCGCGAAAGCGUGGGGAGCAAACAGG